rnacentral:rRNA from 1 species
GAUGAACGCUGGUGGCGUGCCUAACACAUGCAAGUCGAGCGAACGGACGAGAAGCUUGCUUUUCUGAUGUUAGCGGCGGACGGGUGAGUAACACGUGGAUAACCUACCUAUAAGACUGGGAUAACUUCGGGAAACCGGAGCUAAUACCGGAUAAUAUUUUGAACCGCAUGGUUCAAAAGUGAAAGACGGUCUUGCUGUCACUUAUAGAUGGAUCCGCGCUGCAUUAGCUAGUUGGUAAGGUAACGGCUUACCAAGGCAACGAUGCAUAGCCGACCUGAGAGGGUGAUCGGCCACACUGGAACUGAGACACGGUCCAGACUCCUACGGGAGGCAGCAGUAGGGAAUCUUCCGCAAUGGGCGAAAGCCUGACGGAGCAACGCCGCGUGAGUGAUGAAGGUCUUCGGAUCGUAAAGCUCUGUUAUUAGGGAAGAACAUAUGUGUAAGUAACUGUGCACAUCUUGACGGUACCUAAUCAGAAAGCCACGGCUAACUACGUG